rnacentral:ncRNA from 1 species
UCGACGGAGUGGUUUGGCACCUCGAUGUCGGCUCAUCGCAUCCUGGGGCUGAAGUAGGUCCCAAGGGUUGGGCUGUUCGCCCAUUAAAGCGGUACGCGAGCUGGGUUCAGAACGUCGUGAGACAGUUCGGUCCCUAUCCGGCGUGGGCGUAGGAUAUUUGAGAGGAGCUGUCCUUAGUACGAGAGGACCGGGAUGGACUGACCUCUGGUGUAUCUGUUAGACUAUCAAGUCUAUGGCAGAGUAGCCAAGUCGGGAAGGGAUAAACGCUGAAGGCAUCUAAGCGUGAAGCCCCCCUCAAGAUGAGAUAUCCCAUACGCAAGUAGUAAGACCCCUUGAAGACGACGAGGUAGAUAGGGCAGAGGUGGAAGCAUGGCAACAUGUGGAGCUGACUGUUACUAAUAGGUCGAGGGCUUAUCCAA